GCGACGGACGGUGCAGAUACCCAAUUAUCGUAUUCGAGCUCCGAUCCCAGUCGUCUCCUCCGCCGCCUACUCUCCAGCGUCCGAUCUCCUCUCUUCCCCCCUCCCACAGCCCAUCGCCGCCGCCGCCUGCUCCUCCUCUUCUCCCUCCCUAGGCGCGCCUCGAUUACAAAAUCCUCCCUCCCUCUCUUUCCCUCUCUUUCUCAGUAUCGCGCCCAUGUCGGAAGUCCCGGCAAGUCCUACCGGCGGGGCCGGUGGUGGCGGUAGUCACGAGAGCGGCGGCGACCAGAGCCCCCGAUCCAGCGUCCGGGAGCAGGACCGCUUUCUCCCCAUCGCUAACAUCAGCAGGAUCAUGAAAAAGGCGCUUCCUGCCAACGCCAAGAUCGCCAAGGACGCCAAGGAGAUCAUCCAGGAGUGCGUCUCUGAAUUCAUCAGCUUCGUCACCAGCGAGGCUAGUGACAAAUGCCAGAGGGAGAAAAGGAAGACCAUUAAUGGCGACGAUCUGCUCUGGGCGAUGGCCACGCUGGGAUUCGAGGAUUAUAUUGAGCCACUGAAAUUGUAUUUGCAGAAGUACAGAGAGAUGGAGGGUGACAGUAAGGUGUCUGCCAAAGGUGGAGACAACUCUGUUAAGCAAGAUACAACGAGUUCUCACGGUGGAGUUCAGCCUGGUUCAGUCUCUCAAGGGUAGAUAGGUCAUCAAGGAUCUUUUACACAAGGCAUGGGCUAUUUGCAACCUCAGUGACUGGAUCUGAACCUCGUAACAUCUGGAAGUGUGACUUUUAGGCGGAAAAGCUUCGUUGCUUCAUGUUAUCACUAAGCUUUGUAUUUGAUGCUUUAGAUUGUAAAGUAGUAUGAGUUGUAUCAGUCUAAGUUGGGUACGAAAUUCAUCUUUGUUAUACUUGCUGAAUUUUAGGUGGCAACACAUUGCUUUGUAUGAGCCUGUUUCAUUCUUACUUAUCUAUACACUGAUAAGUGGGCUGACUCACCACUUUUUAUUCGUAUUGCAA